rnacentral:rRNA from 1 species
UACGAAGGGGGGCUAGCGUUGUUCGGGAAUUACUGGGGCGUAAAGCGCGCGCAGGGCGGGUUCUUUAAGUCAGGGGGUGAAAGCCCAGAGCUCAACUCUGGGAAUUGCCCUUUGAAACUAGAGAACUUGAGUUACGGGAGAGGUGAGUGGAAUUCCGAGUGUAGAGGGUGAAAUUCGUAGAUAUUCGGGAAGAACACCAGUGGCGAAGGGCGGCUC